rnacentral:lncRNA from 1 species
ACUGCUCCAGCAUCAUCAUCUACCACACCACCCUUUGCUCCAUUGAACUUCGGCCACACUGGCUGUUUUAACGAUCUACUGCGGCAAGACAAACCAUCCUGAAACCUAGUGGCUUGAAACAGCAACUGUGGAUUAUUCCUCAUGAUUCUGUGAAUUGGUGGAGCUCAGCUGGGAGGUUCAUCUCUGUUCUACUCUGAUGUUGGUGGAGGUGACUCGUGGCCUCAUUUGGCUCGGACUUUUGCAGGAACUGGAGCAACCUCUCUCACAUGGAGGACACCUGGACAUCUCUUUCUCUCCACCUUGUCGCUGGAUCCCUUUACAUGCUGGCUCAGGAAUCCAGAGUGAGAAUUAAGAGUGCCUACCUCAUCCUCAUGGGGGAGUUGUAAA